AUAAACUGUACCGGUUUCUGCAGAGCUGUCCCUUCGGUAUUGAUGAUGAAACGGUCCGUGUUCGGUGACCAUAGCGGUCUGACUUUAGUAUAAUAGAAAUGAAACACGGACCGUUGGAGCUCCAGAGAGCUCUCUGCAGAGAUGAAUACCGGCUUGAGACGUUUGAAGCGAUUUUAUAUUGGAAACGAAGACGUUGGUUGUUAAUCCUUUUUCAUAUUCGGAAAUUGGUGAUAGUUUGCGGACUAUGAUCGACAUAUAAUAUACAACCGGCCAUAUAAGAUGCUAGAAUACUGAAUUCCUCUACUGUAACUGUAUCCUUUGUAAUAAUGUAUUCUAUUUUUGGCUGUAUCUCUUCCAUCCAUCGGAACUUUUUGAUUUUGGUCGGUUCAGGCACUUGUGCAUAGUGUCGGCGACGUUUGACUGCUCUUACCCAUUCUAUAACUUGCUUUCGUUGUCAUCUGUUCGUAUUUUCCUAAUACUAUUUUUUGUGUGUCUUCGUUUUCAUAAUGUCGGUUAGUCAAGUAAGUAAUAAAUCGUUUGAUGUCUUUAAUCCAUAUGGCUAAACUGUCUCCUUUUAAUCCACAACGGAUAAGAGAAUCAAACGCCGCGGUAAGAUUGUGUUCUGCAAAUGGUUUUGUUGGAUUAUGCUGUAGUAAAUACAGCGUUCUUACAUUAUUAUAUAGUUGUUUUGUUUUUUGCGACCGUUCAUUGUCUUCUCCCACAUUGAAUAAAUUUCUAAAUCCUAAAACCUCUGGUAAACUUUCUGAUGCUACAUUAUAGAAACCUUCUUCUUGUAACUUUCCGGCGACCGAGGAUGGAGGAUAGUGGAGUAUUUGGGAGUUAAAGGAUAAUAGCGGAGAACGGCUACAACUAGCUUCCUGUAUUACUGGACUAUAGAUGGGAAAAUAAAUAGGUGAAUUCGAAACAGGCGGACUAUGGACAGGCGAAGGAAUAGAUACUACUUGAACGGAACAAGGUUCGGAAGUUGUUUCAAUAGGCACAGUUUUAGGUCUUGAAUCUGUUGGAAUAUGUAGUUUUAACAGUAAUCGAUUCUCCGGAUGGUUACAAAAGCAGGUGAUCUAACGUAUUGUGGUCUACUGAAUAACUUCUGUUUAAAUAUAAAACCACUUAAGGUUUGGACAUUUCCAAAGUAUAGCAUAUAACGUGCAACUACGUCUGGAAUCGUCAGUUUCAAAUUGUGAAUGAGCAAAGAAAAUCUGCGCUCAUCUUCUGAAAUGAACCAUCCAUUACUCUCCUCGAUAUGCAGAAGAAGAGCCCACAGCACUACAGCGCAAUAGUAUGAAAAGAAGCUCAAACACAUGUUCUUUGGAAAAUCAUUUUUGAUCUUAUUUUCAUAAUAAGUAUAUACUUCGCGCAGGACGGCAUCAAAAUCACAGCAUUCGGAGUAUAACUCCUUUACCUGCGGAAUAGGUAUUAAAUCAUUAUUUGUCGAGUCAUUCUCAAGCAUAAAGAUUGGGAUUGCAAAAGAUAUCAUUAGCGUCGGAAGUGGCACGACUAGAGUCAGUGCCAGUAGUUGCACGAUUUAAGACAUUUUCAGAUGAUGAUGGUACCUUCCGCGCUACAUUGCCUGAACGACGUUUAUCCCCACGGACGCCGCGAUGCGCGGCUCGACCGCCACAGGUAGCUUUAGGAUUUCGAGUCAGCUUGGCUAUCUGGAAAUGGAGAAGGGUUGAUAGACAAUGCAGUACUAGGUCCAACGAUGGCAUUACGCGAUUGGAGGAAACUGCGUCCACGUUGACGUUUUUGUGCCCCCGGGAGCUCACUGCCCCAACAGAAUAUGUAGAUACUACACUACUCAUAAUUGGAGUGGUCUCGAUCAAGAAAACACAAUUCAAUUUAUAUAUAAAAUUUUCAAGUAUUUCAAACGGAUUAGAAUUUCUAAUUCCUCACGAAAUACGUGUAAACAAUUUAGCUUCAAUAAACAAUAGCUUCUUAUAUCUGACAGGGUAGGCGCUUAAUAGCUUAUGUACCCUUGAGAUUUACAAAGUAAAAAUUGAUAUAUUCUUCGGUAUAUAUCAAUUUAAAUUUUGUUGAUGGCCAAGCAUGACAGAGAGCUAAGAAAAACGUAUAGAUGAAAUUGCUGAAUUCGUGAAUAGCUAUGCAGUGGCGUUUGAAAAGCGUUAUAUUAAUGACGCAAUCGACAAUGGGACACUACGUACGUUUUUCGUUUCCCAUCUGAAAAACAAACAUAACGAAUUGUAAUAUGCGUUGUCAAUGUACUGUGGUAUACUAUAAUAGCGUUCUCGGCGG
rnacentral:lncRNA from 1 species